UUAAUCCUCAUCCUCUGCCAUUUUUCUUUUGGCUUUUCUCUUUCGCAAGAAUUCCUCUCUUUUUAAUUCUCGCUACUCACACCAUUUGUGCUUCUAUUUAUUUCCUAUUUUUUGUUUGCGCAUUGAAGCGUACGUCACCUGUUUCCGUGAGAUCUUAAAACAGCUUCCUGCUCGCCGGUGCGCCCCUAACAAAUCAAAACCUGGGC
rnacentral:misc_RNA from 1 species